GAUGAACGCUAGCGGGAGGCCUAAUACAUGCAAGUCGAACGGUAAGGUCCCUUCGGGGAUACACGAGUGGCGGACGGGUGCGUAACGCGUACGAAACAUACCUUCAACAGGGAGAUACCUUCGGGAAACUGGAAAUAAUACCCCAUAGUAUUGAGAUAUCGCAUGAUAUUUCAAUUAAAGCUUUGGCGGUUGAAGAUUGUCGUGCGUCUGAUUAGCUAGUUGGUGAGGUAACGGCUCACCAAGGCGACGAUCAGUAGCUGGUCUGAGAGGAUGAUCAGCCACACUGGAACUGAGACACGGUCCAGACUCCUACGGGAGGCAGCAGUAGGGAAUAUUGGACAAUGGGCGGAAGCCUGAUCCAGCCAUCCCGCGUGUAGGAAUAAGGCCCUAUGGGUUGUAAACUACUUUUAUUAGGGUAAGAAAACUUUGAUUUAUCAGAGCUUGACGGUACCUAAGGAAUAAGCACCGGCUAACUCCGUGCCAGCAGCCGCGGU
rnacentral:rRNA from 1 species